ensembl:lncRNA
CACAGGCCUUAAAUCACCUUAUCAUGAUGUUUCUACGCAGCGGUGAUAAGUGCCUUGGGAAACUUCUACAGAGCAGAUAUGGGUUGGAGCACUCUGUGAAAACGCUUUAACGGCUGCGUGAUCUGGACUCACCAGGUUCCACAUCGCUGUUGUCUCUGCAGCAGAGCCGAGGCCCCAUCUGCAGAUAUUCUACUUGCAUGCAGUGGCUGCCAUAAGGAGACAUGGUCAUCAUUAAACCGAAAUCAAGAUAUCAUAAGGAGAGGCACCUGCAAGAGGCAGAUAGAGCUGAAGUGCCUCUUUCCCACUGUUUUGGAAUGGUGCUGAGGGCGGCAGCCAGUAUUUCAGCCAAGCACUUCAGGGAUCUCGAAUUUGGUGCCUGUGUCCAGCUGUGCUCCUGGAUGACAGCGCUGACCCAGAAGGGGUCCUGGGGACUUUCUCAGCAAUUUCCACAAAGCCUUUUCAUACGCAGCCAGGCAAGAUGUUAUGGGAUCCUGUACUGAGCAGGACGGAUACAUCUCCAUGUCUCAGAACCACUGGAGGGCUGUGAAGUAAAAGCACAGCCAAACCAGUUAGGUCAGCUCUCCACCAGUACCAAAUGCUGGUCAAACAAAUAGUCUCUCCAUGGCCAAAUAUAUUGGCUUAUGGGUACACAACAGUGAAACUAUGUAAACAGCUGCAACAUCACCAAGAAUAUAGGAACAUAGCUGGAAAUAUUCUGUGCUUCUAAAAAAAAAAAUUGAACCUGACAAGUAUAAUUAGAUCUUUCUCUAAAUGGAAAGCUGAGGAAUGGCAUUUUUCUUUGAGGCAGAUCAUAGUCAAACAGCUCCUAGUUAUAAGUAUAGCAGUACUUCAUAUCAAUCGCUACAGUCUUCAAGCUGAAAAUAACUUAGAAGAACCACAGUGUUUGACAUCUGUAACAAAAUGAAUGACUAGUCGGCAUUCUUCCGAUCAAAAAUCCAGUCCAUUCUUCUUUUUUACCAUCUGCCUAUAAAAGUAAAGAUUAUCUAGACAUUAGCUCAUAGGUGAUCAUAUGAAGAACAGUAAUCUGUCGGCCAAAUAUCUGUCAGGAGCUGGGCUUUUCUUCUCCAUUUCUGAAUCUUUUAAUGAUACAAUAAGCAUAGCAAAUAUAUGUUGAUUCUCCAAAUUACUGUAUGUGACAAAACCAAUAUUUUUUCAUUUAUUCCUGAUCCAAAAAAGAGAAGCAUGAAGAAAACCACCAUUAUUUAGGAUAGCCAAAUCCAGGAACACACUGAAGAAUAUCAGAAAGAUUUAAUCAUGGUAGGUGACUGAUACAUAAAUAUUUAGGUCCUCCCAAUGCUCUUUAUAUCCUUCUGGAUUAUAUAAAUGAGAGGUUAUGAUAAUCUCUAGGGCAUAGGACAAAAUUUUGUGGAGGGGAGCAGAUUAUUAUACAUCUACUUACUUAGGGAUUAAUUUUCUUCUUUCUCUGAAAUAUCUGACACUAUUCGCUGUUGAAUAUGGAGUGCUGCACUAAGCAGACUGAUCCUCUGUGAAAAUACUAGUAUUCUUAAAUACAUGUAUAAAAGGUAACAAAAUGGAUUUAAACUGUUUAGCAGAACCUUUGAGCCACGUCUAAGCUUGUGUAAUUCCUUUUACAUGGGACAGUCAGAGCAGCAGGCAUGCAAGAAGAAAAGUGUGAAGUAUAAUUAUAGAAGCAGCCACUACUGUACUUCUAAAUGCCAUGGCAUCACCCACCAGGAUUUAACACAGUCACUCCAAUGGCACAGAUGGUCAGCAACAUUUCAAAACCAGCUCUAUCUUUCUUUUUUCCUUAAAAAUCUUUAUGGCAAAUAACAAAGUUAACAAUGUCACUACUUAAAAGCAAUGUAGCUUUUUUCUCCACAAUAUGCAGAGAUGCAAUAAAACAGGAAGUUAAGGACCA